CUAAAACAUGCUCUAUUAUACUAUUGUUAGCAAUUUCUUUAUCGUCCAAUUUAUCUGGUGUACACACUUUAUUUUCAUAAUAAACUCGUUUGUUAGAUUAUACACAGUUAUAGUGGUCUAUAAUAAAUAUUGACAGGUUUUAUUCAAGCUGUUUAGAAUGAUUGCCAUAGGCUAAUUUUUAAAAAUGUAAAUCCCCAAAAAAAAAAAAAAAAAAUGUAAAUAAAUAAAAAACAUUGGAAAAGAAUAACUUGUACUUUUUUAUACAUUUUGUAUAGUUUCAUAGUUUAUGCAUUAUAGUUAUAAAAACAAACAAAUUUAGCCACUCACAUAGAAAUCUUAGGCCUUAUCCUUUUCUGACAGUUUUAGGGAUUUUUAAAAAUCCUAAAAAACCUUAUUUGUGCUGCAAAUAAUAAUUUCAAACUAAUUUGAUACUGACCUCUGACAUCCUGUGACAUGAUAUUUAUUUGAAUUUACAUAAUCUCAUGGAUGUAACAGUAAAUCUGUUCAGCUCACAGAUCAAGACUAAGCUGUAAUGUAAGCAGAACUUUCACAAAUGCUUUUAGGUCAAUAAAAUCAUUACAAAACACUUACAAAUCAUUUAAGGGAUUUGAUAACACUGUAAAAUAAUGUCUAAUUUGUUAACAUUAGCAAAUGCAUUGAUAACACUUUAUAAUAACUGCACUCAUUAGUAAAUAGUCAGUUCAUGCUUCAUAAAGCCUUGUCCCAAUAUUAAUAGUCAGUAGUAAGCAGUUUAUAAAUACAGCUAUAAAUAGCUCAUUUAUUAAAAAGGAGAGUAAA